CACACUUCUCCUCUCACACACAGUACACAAUCUACUGUAUGUGAGUGUUGCAACUACUUAUUUUACGGAAUACAAUACAAUCUCGGAUUCUUACUUCUCCCCGGUGGGCACUUCUAAACUUUUUCUCAGGGAUUUUUUUCUCUCACAACCUGGCAACCCGUAGAGAGCAGCAAGCAGCAGUUGCCAGAACAAGUUGCCAGAACAAGAGGAUGUGUCCUAUCCCUGGAGAGAAAAGAGAGAAGAGUCUGAGCUGAAUCUUAAUGAGGACGUGGAUCUGUCGGAGGAGAUCUGAGGAGACGACCAGGAACAGGAGAGAAGAGGAGGAGAAGGAGGGAUAAAAGAGGAGGAGGAGGACAGAACAUGGGCCAUUCCUGUUUGUGGAUUUUUCUGCUGUCCCUGUCUCUCUCCCACCAGGCAGUCACUGAACAGGCAGAAGCAUGUCGGACGGCGGAGCCUGCAGACCUGGUGUUCUUGGUGGAUGAGUCGUGGGGCGUGGGCCAGACCAGCUUCUCCAGGGUUAAGGACUUCAUCUCGGCCAUCAUGAAUUCCUUUCAGGACAGCGUGGUGGGGUCCGAAGGC